rnacentral:misc_RNA from 1 species
UAAUAAGUGUUUUAUGGCACUUUUUAAAUCCAUAUCCACCUCGUGUGCAAUGUCAGUCGAUCUUCUUCAUGGAGAUCGACCAAACAUCAACCUUUAUUUUUUAACUAGUAGUUGCCUGAUAAAUAUUUGAAUGAAUAAAAUCAAAAUA